GUGUCAGCAGCCGCGGUAAUACGGAGGGUGCAAGCGUUAUCCGGAUUCACUGGGUUUAAAGGGUGCGUAGGCGGGCAGGUAAGUCAGUGGUGAAAUCCUAGAGCUUAACUCUAGAACUGCCAUUGAUACUAUCUGUCUUGAAUAUUGUGGAGGUAAGCGGAAUAUGUCAUGUAGCGGUGAAAUGCUUAGAUAUGACAUAGAACACCUAUUGCGAAGGCAGCUUACUACGCAUAUAUUGACGCUGAGGCACGAAAGCGUGGGGAUCAAACAGGAUUAGAUACCCCCGUAGUCC
rnacentral:rRNA from 1 species